rnacentral:lncRNA from 1 species
UUCUAUUAAUCUUUCUCUCUUUUCCCUAUUUUUCAUCUAAAUAUAUGUUAAAUCACUAUCAAAUUCCUUAUUAUAAAGGGUUAUAGCCGUGACUUAGUUUGCAAUUUCUGUGCUACCAAAGCAACAAAAUAAAAAAAAUCCGACAAUUUCAGUUCUUGCUGACUUUAUAUUUCUAGGGUUUCGUUGAUUCUCGCAUAUAUUGUUGCAUCGAGGUAAGCUGGAGUCACUACUUUCUACUUAGGGUUUCGUUAUUACAUCGUUCCUGCAUUUUGUCAAACUUUUGGCUCUCUAAACAAC